rnacentral:rRNA from 1 species
UACGGAGGGCGCGAGCGUUAAUCGGAAUUACUGGGCGUAAAGCGCGCGUAGGCUGUUGUGUAAGUUGGGGGUGAAAUCCCACGGCUCAACCGUAGAACAGCCCUUGAUACUGCGCGACUUGAAUCCGGGAGAGGGUGGCGGAAUUCCAGGUGUAGGAGUGAAAUCCGUAGAUAUCUGGAGGAACAUCAGUGGCGAAGGCGGCCACCUGGACCGGUAUUGACGCUGAGGCGCGAAAGCGUGGGGAGCAAACAGG